CUGGUAUAUGUCACAUCCACCAUGGUUUUAGUGAGUCAAGGUUAAGCUAUGGUCUGGUAUAUGUUACAUCCACCAUGGUUUUAGUGAGUCAAGGUUAAGCUAUGGUCUGGUAUAUGUCACAUCCACCAUGGUUUUAGUGAGUCAAGGUUAAGCUAUGGUCUGGUAUAUGUCACAUCCACCAUGGUUUUAGUGAGUCAAGGUUAAGCUAUGGUCUGGUAUAUGUCACAUCCACCAUGGUUUUAGUGAGUCAAGGUUAAGCUAUGGUCUGGUAUAUGCCACAUCCACCAUGGUUUUAGUGAGUCAAGGUUAAGCUAUGGUCUGGUAUAUGCCACGUCAACCAUGGUUUUAUCGAGAUCAAACCCAACACAGUGGCUUGGUAAUUCCCGGAACCAAACUAUUUAAUCUUCUACGUAUACUCCACAAUGGUUAGGUUUUCGAUGCAACACCAGACACAUGAGAGAUUCCCCGUAUAGCUUCCUCAUAUUUCCGAACUUCAAUUAUUUUUUUUUACAACAGAGGAGACAGCUCAAGGGCACACACACACACACACACACAAAAAAAGGAAACAAUAAUAA